rnacentral:rRNA from 1 species
UACGGAGGGUGCAAGCGUUAAUCGGAAUUACUGGGCGUAAAGCGCGCGCAGGCGGUUUGUUAAGUCAGAUGUGAAAUCCCACGGCUCAACCUGGGAACGGCAUUUGAUACUGGGAGGCUUGAGUCGCGUAGAGGGGGGUGGAAUUCCAGGUGUAGCGGUGAAAUGCGUAGAGAUCUGGAGGAACAUCGGUGGCGAAGGCGGCGUCCUGGACGAAGACUGACGCUGAGGCGCGAAAGCGUGGGGAGCAAACAGG